rnacentral:rRNA from 1 species
GAUGAACGCUGGCGGCGUGCCUAAUACAUGCCAGUCGAGCGAACAGAUAAGGAGCUUGGUCCUUUGACGUUAGCGGCGGACGGGUGAGUAACACGUGGAUGACCUACCUAUAAGACUGGGAUAACUUCGGGAAACCGGAGCUAAUACCGGAUAAUAUAUUGAACCGCGUGGUUCAAUAGUUAAAGGCGGUUUUGCUGUCACUUAUAGAUGGAUCCGGACCGUAUUAGCUUGUUGGUAAGGUAACGGCUUACCAAGGCAACGAUAGGUAGCCGCCCUGAAGGGGUGGACCGCCACCUGGGCACAGAGGCCCGGCCCCGACUCCUGCAGGAAGACACAGUCCGGAAUCUUACGGGAUGGGGCAAAGGCUAACGGAGCACAGUCGGCUGAAUGCUGAACGUCCUCGGCUCCGUAAACUAUGUUAUCCUGGGAGAACAAAAGUUCAAUUAACCGUGAACAUCUUGACGGUACCUGAUCAAAAAGCCCCGGCUAACUCCGUG